AUGAACGCUGGCGGCGUGCCUAAUACAUGCAAGUCGAGCGAACAGACGAGGAGCUUGCUCCUCUGACGUUAGCGGCGGACGGGUGAGUAACACGUGGAUAACCUACCUAUAAGACUGGGAUAACUUCGGGAAACCGGAGCUAAUACCGGAUAAUAUAUUGAACCGCAUGGUUCAAUAGUGAAAGACGGUUUUGCUGUCACUUAUAGAUGGAUCCGCGCCGCAUUAGCUAGUUGGUAAGGUAACGGCUUACCAAGGCAACGAUGCGUAGCCGACCUGAGAGGGUGAUCGGCCACACUGGAACUGAGACACGGUCCAGACUCCUACGGGAGGCAGCAGUAGGGAAUCUUCCGCAAUGGGCGAAAGCCUGACGGAGCAACGCCGCGUGAGUGAUGAAGGUCCUCGGAUCGUAAAACUCUGUUAUUAGGGAAGAACAAAUGUGUAAGUAACUAUGCACGUCUUGACGGUACCUAAUCAGAAAGCCACGGCUAACUACGUG
rnacentral:rRNA from 1 species